UUAUGAUGAACUAUCUUCCUGGUUAUGAAAACAUUAACUCUUCAGAAUCACAAAAACUAAUUUCCAUCUUAAAACAUGAGCUUUCAAUCCUUUGUAAAAGAGCAGAUGCACAGAAUUUCAAAGAAGUGCAAAUACAUAAGUUUGUGAAAGGAAGUGUCAUUGCUGAAAGUACUGCAGUAUAUAACUAUCCCAACAAUGACUCACAGAUAAUAUUUCUAAAUAACUAUUUGCAAUACACCCUGGAAACAAUCUUUAACGAAACAGAUUCAUUUAAAAAUCUCAGCAUAGCUCUUAAUGCUUCCAUCCAAGUUGACCAAACGACCAUGGGGCCAGUUAUAAUAUCAAAUAUUUCAGAUCUGCAGUCAUUUGUGAAAUGCACAUUGGAUUUUGCAAACUUAACGGUAGAGUUGGAAGAUGGAGCAUGGGUAUGUGUGGGACUGUGUAAAAGAAAUCUUGAAUUCUGCAAUCAACGAGGUGUAUGCCUUAAUGAAAUAAAAGGACCACAGUGCAGGUGUUACAGUUCUCCCUUUGAGAAGUACUAUGGAGAUCAUUGUGAGCUUUACAGCAGAGGGGCCGGUUUCUACGCUGUCCUCUUUGGCUGUUUAGCAGCUUUUGCUCUACUUAUCAUUGUCUUUGGUGUGAUGAUUCUGGUGCUCUACAGAGC